rnacentral:tRNA from 1 species
UCGUGGCUCAGAUGAUAAAUCGUCUGUCUGCAAUGCAGAAGACCCAGGUUUGAUCCCUGGGUUGGGAA